rnacentral:rRNA from 1 species
UACAGAGGGGGCGAGCGUUGUUCGGAAUUACUGGGCGUAAAGGGCGCGUAGGCGGCCUUCUAAGUCGAACGUGAAAUCCCCGGGCUCAACCCGGGAACUGCGUCCGAUACUGGAUGGCUUGAAUCCGGGAGAGGGAUGCAGAAUUCCAGGUGUAGCGGUGAAAUGCGUAGAUAUCUGGAGGAAUACCGGUGGCGAAGGCGGCAUCCUGGACCGGGAUUGACACUGAGGAGCGAAAGCUAGGGGAGCAAACGGG